rnacentral:precursor_RNA from 12 species
GAUGAAAUUUAGAAAAUUCGACAUUAGACUAAAUAUCAGCUGGUAAUUCUGGGGUCGUUCACCCCCAGGUUAUCAGUUGGUAUAAAGUUGUGUGUCGCAUUACUUCGAACAAACAGA